rnacentral:rRNA from 1 species
GACGAACGCUGGCGGCGUGCUUAACACAUGCAAGUCGAACGGUGAAGGGGUCUGCUUUUGUGGGCCCUGGAUGAGUGGCGAACGGGUGAGUAACACGUGAGUAACCUGCCCCCUUCUUCUGGAUAACCGCAUGAAAGUGUGGCUAAUACGGGAUAUUCUGGGUCUGUCGCAUGAUGGGUCUGGGAAAGAUUGCGCCUUUGGGUGUUUUUGGUGGGGGAUGGGCUCGCGGCCUAUCAGCUUGUUGGUGGGGUGAUGGCCUACCAAGGCGGGGACGGGUAGCCGGCCUGAGAGGGUGGACGGUCACACUGGGACUGAGACACGGCCCAGACUCCUACGGGAGGCAGCAGUGGGGAAUAUUGCACAAUGGGCGCAAGCCUGAUGCAGCGACGCCGCGUGAGGGAUGGAGGCCUUCGGGUUGUAAACCUCUUUCGCCAGUGAAGCAGGCCUGCUCCUUGUGGGUGGGUUGACGGUAGCUGGAUAAGAAGCGCCGGCUAACUACGUG